rnacentral:lncRNA from 1 species
AGUUUAGAAAGAUAUGUAUUGAACAUCAAAAUUAAUUAAAUAUAUACUUAUAUCCUUAAGAACAUAAAAUGUCAUCUUCUAUAUUCUGAUAAUUAAACAAUUAACAUAAGUUACACAGAUUAAAAAAUAUGCUAAAAUACUAAUUAUAAGUAGAAAAUGAAAAAGAAAAAAGAAAAAAGAAUAAUUACAAGAAAAUGAAAAAGAAAAAAGGAGAAUAGAAUAAUUACAAGAAAAUGAAAAUGAGACUGUAUGUUUUAAAGGAAACCAACUCAAUCAUUUUUCGAGUGUUACAUUAGCACCACCUGUAUUAUUGUGAGAUCCUCAUAAUCCUAACAAACAUCUCAAUCUCAUCAAAACAAUACGAAAAACCCUAUCAUAAUCAUUGGUGACGCAAGAAUAAUAUUGAAAAUAAGAGGAAACACAAAUGAAUAGGGUGACAACAUAAAAAAGGUAGAGAUGUGUAUCCUUCAAAAGAUCAAGCUAUAUCAGAAAUCACUAGAUCUAUAAAUUUGAUAAAUAAGAAUGAAAAUUACUCAUAAAAGAUAGAAAAAAAAGAAAAUAUGACAAUUUUUCAGCAAUACGUAUUUUUUUACCCUUUGUAUUUUGUUUAUACAAUCAUAAAGUGAAUAUGAACCAGAGAUUUCUAUUAAAUAAUGUAAGCUAAAUAUUUCAAAUAAGUACAUCCUCAAUUAUAUAAAUCAAUCAAACAUGUAAUGAGCAACAAACCUUGACAUUACUUAGUUUAGAAAGAUAGUUAUUGAACAUCAAAAUUAAUUAAAUAUAUACUUAUAUCCUUAAGAACAUAAAAUGUCAUCUUCUAUAUUCUGAUAAUUAAACAAUUAACAUAAGUUAUACAGAUUAAAAAAUAUGCUAAAAUACUAAUUAUAAGUAGAAAAUGAAAAAGAAAAAAAGAAAACAGAAUAAUUAUAAGAAAAUGAAAAUGAGAUCGUGUGGUAUAAAGGAAACCAACUCAAUCAUUUUUCCAGUGUUACAUUAGCAUCACCUUUAUUAUUGUGAGAUCCUCAUAAUCCUAACAAACAUCUCAAUCUCAUCAAAACAAUACAAAAAACCCGAUCAUAAUCAUUGGUGAGGCAAGAAUAAAAUUGAAAAUAAGAGGAAACACAGAUGAAUAGAGUGACAAAAUAAACAAGUUAGAGAUGUGUAACCUUCAAAAGAUCAACCUAUAUCAGAAAUCACUUGAUCUGUACAUUUGAUAGAUAAGAAAGAAAAUGACUCAUAAAAGAAAGAAAAAAAAGGAAAAUAUGACAAUUUAUCAAGUGUACGUAUUUUUUUACCCUUUGUAUUUUGUUUAUACAAUCAUAAAGUGAUCAUGAACAAGAGAUUUCUAUUAAAUAGUGUAAGCUAAAUAUUUCUAUUAAGUACAUCCUCACUUAUAUAAAUCAAUCGAACAUGUAAUGAUUAACAAACCUUGACAUUAAAUAGUUUAGAAAGAUAUGUAUUGAACAUCAAAAUUAAUUAAAUAUAUACUUAUAUCCUAAAGAACAUACAAUGUCAUCUUCUAUAUUCUGAUAAUUAAACAAUUAACAUAAGUUAUACAGAUUAAAAAAUAUGCUAAAAUACUAAUUAUAAGUAGAAAAUGAAAAAGAAAAAAAGAAAACAGAAUAAUUAUAAGAAAAUGAAAAUGAGAUCGUGUGGUAUAAAGGAAACCAACUCAAUCAUUUUUCCAGUGUUACAUUAGCAUCACCUUUAUUAUUGUGAGAUCCUCAUAAUCCUAACAAACAUCUCAAUCUCAUCAAAACAAUACAAAAAACCCGAUCAUAAUCAUUGGUGAGGCAAGAAUAAAAUUGAAAAUAAGAGGAAACACAGAUGAAUAGAGUGACAAAAUAAACAAGUUAGAGAUGUGUAACCUUCAAAAGAUCAACCUAUAUCAGAAAUCACUUGAUCUGUACAUUUGAUAGAUAAGAAAGAAAAUGACUCAUAAAAGAAAGAAAAAAAAGGAAAAUAUGACAAUUUAUCAAGUGUACGUAUUUUUUUACCCUUUGUAUUUUGUUUAUACAAUCAUAAAGUGAUCAUGAACAAGAGAUUUCUAUUAAAUAGUGUAAGCUAAAUAUUUCUAUUAAGUACAUCCUCACUUAUAUAAAUCAAUCGAACAUGUAAUGAUUAACAAACCUUGACAUUAAAUAGUUUAGAAAGAUAUGUAUUGAACAUCAAAAUUAAUUAAAUAUAUACUUAUAUCCUAAAGAACAUACAAUGUCAUCUUCUAUAUUCUGAUAAUUAAACAAUUAACAUAAGUUAUACAGAUUAAAAAAUAUGCUAAAAUACUAAUUAUAAGUAGAAAAUGAAAAAGAAAAAAAGAAAACAGAAUAAUUAUAAGAAAAUGAAAAUGAGAUCGUGUGGUAUAAAGGAAACCAACUCAAUCAUUUUUCCAGUGUUACAUUAGCAUCACCUUUAUUAUUGUGAGAUCCUCAUAAUCCUAACAAACAUCUCAAUCUCAUCAAAACAAUACAAAAAACCCGAUCAUAAUCAUUGGUGAGGCAAGAAUAAAAUUGAAAAUAAGAGGAAACACAGAUGAAUAGAGUGACAAAAUAAACAAGUUAGAGAUGUGUAACCUUCAAAAGAUCAACCUAUAUCAGAAAUCACUUGAUCUGUACAUUUGAUAGAUAAGAAAGAAAAUGACUCAUAAAAGAAAGAAAAAAAAGGAAAAUAUGACAAUUUAUCAAGUGUACGUAUUUUUUUACCCUUUGUAUUUUGUUUAUACAAUCAUAAAGUGAUCAUGAACAAGAGAUUUCUAUUAAAUAGUGUAAGCUAAAUAUUUCUAUUAAGUACAUCCUCACUUAUAUAAAUCAAUCGAACAUGUAAUGAUUAACAAACCUUGACAUUAAAUAGUUUAGAAAGAUAUGUAUUGAACAUCAAAAUUAAUUAAAUAUAUACUUAUAUCCUAAAGAACAUACAAUGUCAUCUUCUAUAUUCUGAUAAUUAAACAAUUAACAUAAGUUAUACAGAUUAAAAAAUAUGCUAAAAUACUAAUUAUAAGUAGAAAAUGAAAAAGAAAAAAAGAAAACAGAAUAAUUAUAAGAAAAUGAAAAUGAGAUCGUGUGGUAUAAAGGAAACCAACUCAAUCAUUUUUCCAGUGUUACAUUAGCAUCACCUUUAUUAUUGUGAGAUCCUCAUAAUCCUAACAAACAUCUCAAUCUCAUCAAAACAAUACAAAAAACCCGAUCAUAAUCAUUGGUGAGGCAAGAAUAAAAUUGAAAAUAAGAGGAAACACAGAUGAAUAGAGUGACAAAAUAAACAAGUUAGAGAUGUGUAACCUUCAAAAGAUCAACCUAUAUCAGAAAUCACUUGAUCUGUACAUUUGAUAGAUAAGAAAGAAAAUGACUCAUAAAAGAAAGAAAAAAAAGGAAAAUAUGACAAUUUAUCAAGUGUACGUAUUUUUUUACCCUUUGUAUUUUGUUUAUACAAUCAUAAAGUGAUCAUGAACAAGAGAUUUCUAUUAAAUAGUGUAAGCUAAAUAUUUCUAUUAAGUACAUCCUCACUUAUAUAAAUCAAUCGAACAUGUAAUGAUUAACAAACCUUGACAUUAAAUAGUUUAGAAAGAUAUGUAUUGAACAUCAAAAUUAAUUAAAUAUAUACUUAUAUCCUAAAGAACAUACAAUGUCAUCUUCUAUAUUCUGAUAAUUAAACAAUUAACAUAAGUUAUACAGAUUAAAAAAUAUGCUAAAAUACUAAUUAUAAGUAGAAAAUGAAAAAGAAAAAAAGAAAACAGAAUAAUUAUAAGAAAAUGAAAAUGAGAUCGUGUGGUAUAAAGGAAACCAACUCAAUCAUUUUUCCAGUGUUACAUUAGCACCACCUUUAUUAUUGUGAGAUCCUCAUAAUCCUAACAAACAUCUCAAUCUCAUCAAAACAAUACGAAAAACCCUAUCAUAAUCAUUGGUGAUGCAAGAAUAAAAUUGAAAAUAAGAGGAAACACAGAUGAAUAGAGUGACAAAAUAAAAAAGUUAGAGAUGUGUAACCUUCAAAAGAUCAACCUAUAUCAGAAAUCACUUGAUCUGUACAUUUGAUAGAUAAGAAUGAAAAUUACUCAUAAAAUAUAAAAAAAAAAGAAAAUAUGACAAUUUUUCAGCAGUACGUAUUUUUUUACCCUUUGUAUUUUGUUUAUACAAUCAUAAAGUGAAUAUGAACCAGAGAUUUCUAUUAAAUAAUGUAAGCUAAAUAUUUCUAAUAAGUACAUCCUCAAUUAUAUAAAUCAAUCAAACAUGUAAUGAGCAACAAACCUUGACAUUACUUAGUUUAGAAAGAUAGUUAUUGAACAUCAAAAUUAAUUAAAUAUAUACUUAUAUCCUUAAGAACAAUAAUUGUCAUCUUCUAUAUUCUGAUAAUUAAACAAUUAACAUAAGUUAUACAGAUUAAAAAAAAAUGCUAAAAUACUAAUUAUAAGUAGAAAAUGAAAAAGAACAAAAUAAAAUAGAAUAAUGACAAGAAAAUGAAAAAGAAAAAAACAAAAUAGAAUAAUAACAACAAAUUUAAAAUGAGACCGUAUGGUAUAAAGGAAACUAACUCAAUAACUUUUCCAGUGUUACACUAGCACAACGUUUAUUAUUCUGAGAUCCUCAUAAUCGUAACAAAAAUAUCAAUCUCAUCAAAACAAUAAAAAAAACCCUAUCAUAAUCAUUGGUGAUGCAAGAAUAAAAUUGAAAAUAACAGGAAACACAAAUGAAUAGAGUGACAAAAUAAACAAGUUAGAGAUGUAUAAUCUUCAAAAGAUUAACCUAUAUCAGAAAUCACUUUAAUCCGUUCAUUUGAUAGAUAAGAAAGAAAAUUACUCAUAAAAGAUAGAAAAAAAGGAAAAUAUGACAAUUUUUCAGCAAUACAUGUUUUUUUACCCUUUGUAUUUUGUUUAUACAAUCAUAAACUGAUUAUGAACCAGAGAUUUCUAUUAAGUAAUGUAUACUAAAUAUUUGUAUUAAGUACAUCCUCAAUUCUAUAAAUCAAUCAAACAUGUAAUGAGUAAUAAUCAUUGACAUUAAAUAGUUUAGAAAGAUAUGUAUUGAACAUCAAAAUUAAUUAAAUAUAUACUUAUAUCCUUAAGAACAUAAAAUGUCAUCUUCUAUAUUCUGAUAAUUAAACAAUUAAAAUAACUUACACAGAUUAAAAAAUAUGCUAAAAUAGUAAUUAUAAGUAGAAAAUGAAAAAGAAAAAAGAAAAAAAAAUAAUUACAAGAAAAUGAAAAAGAAAAAAGGAAAAUAGAAUAAUUACAAGAAAAUGAAAAUGAGACUGUAUGUAUUAAAGGAAACCAACUCAAUCAUUUUUCCAGUGUUAUAUUAGCACCACCUGUAUUAUUGUGAGAUCAUCAUAAUCCUAACAAACAUCUCAAUCUCAUCAAAACAAUACGAAAAACCCCAUCAUAAUCAUUGGUGACGCAAAAAUAAAAUUGAAAAUAAGAGGAAACACAAAUGAAUAGGGUGACAAAAUAAA